UACCAAUUAUCAAGUCACCACCCAAUUAUCAAGAAGAUGCAAGAAUCUUCAUCUUCUAUUCCUACCCCAGACCAAAUGGAGGAGCAGCAGCCAGUAGAAGGUAUGGGAACCAUCAAUAAUAAUAUUCCUGAUGAACUCAUCUUUGAAAUCCUCUCAAGGCUUCCAGUCAAGUCCCUCUUGAGGUUCAGGUGCGUUUCAAAAUCUUGGCUUUCCUUAAUCUCUAGCUCGGAAUUCAUUAAAGCCCAUCUCGAGAAAUCGUUAAAUGAGCAUGACUACAAUCGCCAUAAGCUCCUUUUCAUUUCUGAUAGAAUUUUCAAGAAUUGUUCUCUGAAUCCUGCACUGAAUGCAUCCAAGACUCCCAGUACUGAGACAAGCGCAAAUAUUGUUGACAAUCCCAUGAGAUUCAACCGUGGUAGUUUGCCUUAUAUUGUGGGUUCUUGUAAUGGUUUGGUAUGCAUCAAAAGUCCUCGAAAUCGACUGUAUUUCUGGAACCCUGCAACAAGAAAAUCUAAAAGGUUGCCCAAGUUUGGUAGCAAAACUGUGCACAAUAAUUGGUGGGACUCUUUAUUUUGUUAUGGCUUUGGAUAUGAUGAGUCUAAUGAGGAUUACAAGGUAGUUGGGGUGUCGUUUGUAAAUGUUUCUGAUGUUUUCGGUACAGAAAUCCGGGUUAAGGUGUAUAGUCUAAAAGGUAAUUCGUGGAGGAGGAUUCAGGAGGAUUUUAAGGUGGGUGAUAUGGAUGAAUAUGGUUGCUUUGCAAAUGGAAAGCUCCACUGGGUCUCGAAUCGUAUUCCUGGCUCUGAUGACGUACGGAAAAUUAUUAGUUUUGAUUUGGCGAGCGAGGCAUUUGGAGAGGUGGAAAAGCCAGAACAGUGGAUGGGUUUUUCUUCUGAUUGGAAUUUACAUGUUUUAGAUGGACAUCUGUCGCUGUCUUAUGAUCAGGGAAGCAAUCUUGUGGAUGUUUGGGUGAUGGAGAAGGAUGGUGCUAAUGAAUCAUGGGCUAAAGUGCUUUCGAUCCUUAAUCUCAGUCAGCCUAGUGGUGAAAUUUUUUUGAAACCUGUUUUUCUGUCCAAGGAAGGUGAAAUUCUGUUUAAAUAUGGGCCAGUCAUAGCGCUUUACAGUACAAAGGAUAAUGCUUACAACUAUCCCCGGGUUACUAAUUUGGGAGAUCUUGCGCAAGUGGAGGUGUAUGUUGAAAGCUUACUUUCUCCAAAUGCUGUUGAUGGAGUAUGAAUGCACAGGGCUGGAGACCACUAAAAGACAAACAUGAUGACGAUGAUGUUAUCAAGUGGUGACUGGAGAGAAUGUCUACAUUACUGCUUGGGAUAUUAUGUGGAUUAAGUUUCUCAAACUUGCUAAAGAUGUGUAGGUUCAAUUGCUAGCAGGUCCAUUGAAGGCAGAGGUACAGGGUUGUAGAGCAGAUGGUUCUUAGGCUACUGCUCCAUUCAUUUCGCAUUACAGGCAAAGGCUUGGUCUUCUGCUUUUGCAGCAGACUGCAAAAUUUUGUCUCUAGCUGUUUGGUUGAACCUGAAGAGCAGUAGUUUUUCUCCACAGUGUUGUAUCAUUCAAAUACUCAGCUUACAGUAUGUGCAAUAUGGUAUAUAUUCCUCAGAGUAAAUAAGAUAAGGUCUUGUUUAAUUUUGCAAUGGUUGUACAUAGUCCUGGUAUGUUUAAUUUUCUGUGCAGAAACUUUAUGAGCCUAUAUCUUGAAAAGGAGAAAUAUUCUUGUACUUGUGUGCAGUAA